rnacentral:rRNA from 1 species
AUUGAACGCUGGCGGAAUGCUUUACACAUGCAAGUCGAACGGCAGCACGGACUUCGGUCUGGUGGCGAGUGGCGAACGGGUGAGUAAUGUAUCGGAACGUGCCCAGUCGUGGGGGAUAACGUAGUGAAAAUUACGCUAAUACCGCAUACGAUCUAUGGAUGAAAGCGGGGGAUCGCGAGACCUCGCGCGAUUGGAGCGGCCGAUAUCAGAUUAGGUAGUUGGUGGGGUAAAGGCCCACCAAGCCAACGAUCUGUAGCUGGUCUGAGAGGACGACCAGCCACACUGGAACUGAGACACGGUCCAGAAUCCUACGGGAGGCAGCAGCGGGGAAUUUUGGACAAUGGGCGAAAGCCUGAUCCAGCCAUGCCGCGUGCAGGAUGAAGGCCCUCGGGUUGUAAACUGCUUUUGUACAGAACGAAAAGGUUUCUACUAAUACUAGGAGCUCAUGACGGUACUGUAAGAAUAAGCACCGGCUAACUACGUGCCAGCCGCCGCGGUAA